UACGUAGGGGGGCAAGCGUUGUUCGGAAUUACUGGGCGUAAAGCGCGCGUAGGCGGCUUUGUAAGUCAGAGGUGAAAUCCCGGAGCUCAACUCCGGAACUGCCUUUGAGACUGCAUCGCUUGAAUCCGGGAGAGGUGAGUGGAAUUCCGAGUGUAGAGGUGAAAUUCGUAGAUAUUCGGAAGAACACCAGUGGCGAAGGCGGCUCACUGGACCGGUAUUGAUGCUGAUGUGCGAAAGCGUGGGGAGCAAACAGG
rnacentral:rRNA from 1 species